CGGUAAGGCCCUUUCGGGGGUACACGAGUGGCGAACGGGUGAGUAACACGUGGGUGACCUGCCCUGUACUUCGGGAUAAGCCUGGGAAACUGGGUCUAAUACCGGAUAUGACCUUCUCCUGCAUGGGGGUUGGUGGAAAGCUUUUGCGGUACAGGAUGGGCCCGCGGCCUAUCAGCUUGUUGGUGGGGUAAUGGCCUACCAAGGCGACGACGGGUAGCCGGCCUGAGAGGGCGACCGGCCACACUGGGACUGAGACACGGCCCAGACUCCUACGGGAGGCAGCAGUGGGGAAUAUUGCACAAUGGGCGAAAGCCUGAUGCAGCGACGCCGCGUGAGGGAUGACGGCCUUCGGGUUGUAAACCUCUUUCAGUAGGGACGAAGCGCAAGUGACGGUACCUACAGAAGAAGCACCGGCCAACUACGUGCCAGCAGCCGCGGUAAUACGUAGGGUGCGAGCGUUGUCCGGAUUUACUGGGCGUAAAGAGCUCGUAGGCGGUUUGUCACGUCGUCUGUGAAAACCCGAGGCUUAACCUCGGGCCUGCAGGCGAUACGGGCAGACUUGAGUACUGUAGGGGAGACUGGAAUUCCUGGUGUAGCGGUGGAAUGCGCAGAUAUCAGGAGGAACACCGGUGGCGAAGGCGGGUCUCUGGGCAGUAACUGACGCUGAGGAGCGAAAGCGUGGGUAGCGAACAGGAUUAGAUACCCUGGUAGUCCACGCCGUAAACGGUGGGUACUAGGUGUGGGUUUCCUUCCACGGGAUCCGUGCCGUAGCUAACGCAUUAAGUACCCCGCCUGGGGAGUACGGCCGCAAGGCUAAAACUCAAGGAAUUGACGGGGGCCCGCACAAGCGGCGGAGCAUGUGGAUUAAUUCGAUGCAACGC
rnacentral:rRNA from 1 species